UUUGCCUCUGCAAGCGCAGGCAAGAUGGCAGCUUCCGUUUCGGCCAUAUUUUGGCUUUAAAACGCCUUAAUGAGAGUAAAUGGGGACCGUCCAGUCCAUACUUUUAUACAGUCUAUAAUCACAACCCAAACUCCACAACGCGCCAAGCAGCACAUUUUUAGUUGCUGCGGAAGCACAGCUCAUUUAGGCUCAGCUCAGCUCACCUCAGGACUUGUUGUGCUACUAAGAUAUAAGGCAGUGUGAGGUUGGUGGAUGGUGGCAGUCGCUGUGCUGGGAGAGUGGAGGUUCUUCAUAGAGGGCAGUGGGGAACAGUGUGUGGUGAUGACUGGGAUAUGAGUGAUGCUGCAGUGGUGUGUAGAGAGCUGGGCUGUGGAGAAGCUGUAGAUGCACUGGGCAAAUCUCAUUUUGGAUCAGGAUCAGGACCAAUCUGGAUGGAGGAUGUGGACUGUAGUGGAUCAGAGUCUAGACUGGAGAACUGUAGAUCACCAGUAUGGGGUAAACAUGACUGCAAUGAAACCCACAAUUCUGGAGUCAUCUGUUCAGGAGCCAGGCUGGUUUUAGGUUCUCGCUGCUCUGGGAGAGUGGAGGUUCUUCAUGGAGAGAGCUGGGCCACAGUGUGUGAUGCUGACUUUAACCAGCAGGAUGCAGAGGUUGUGUGUCGAGAGCUGGGCUGUGGUUCUCCUGUGAAGGUUCUGGGAGCAGCUGCGUUUGGUAGAGGGGAGGGUCAGGUGUGGUCAGAGGUGCUUCAGUGUAGAGGAAACAAAUCUCAGACUCACUUCUGUCCAAAAUCAUCUUCACUCAAACACAACUGCUCCCAUGAUAAUGAUGUGGGACUGGUGUGUGCAGGAGUCCUGCUGGUUAAUGGCUCUCGCUGCUCUGGAAGAGUGGAGGUUCUUCAUGGUGAGAGCUGGUUCACAGUGUGUGAUGCUGACUUUAACCAGCAGGAUGCAGAGGUUGUGUGUCGAGAGCUGGGCUGUGGUUCUCUUGUGGAGGUUCUGGGAGCAGCUGCUUUUGGUAGAGGGGAGGGUCCGGUGUGGUCAGAGAAGCUUCAGUGUAGAGGAACUGAAUCUCAGAUUCACUUCUGUCCAAAAUCAUCUUCACUCAAACACAACUGCUCCCAUGAUGAUGAUGUGGGACUGGUGUGUGCAGACAGUGUGAGGUUGGCAGAUGGUGGCAGUCGCUGUGCUGGAAGAGCAGAGGUUUUUCACAGAGGACAGUGGGGAACAAUUUGUGGUGCUGGUGCAAAUUUCAUAGCGGGUUUUGUCAUGUGUAAAGAGUUGGGCUGUGGAGAGCCGUUUAGGACUGAUGCAGCUGUUCCAGGAUCUGCACCGAUCUGGAUGAGUCAUGUGAAGUGUACUGGAUCAGAGUCUACACUGAAACACUGUGGAUCAUUAGGGUGGGGUGAACACAGCUGUAAUCAUAAUAUGGAUAUUGAGCUUACCUGUUCAGAUCACAGGACAUCCAGACUUGCUGAUGGUCCUCAUGUUUGCUCUGGGAGAGUGGAGGUUUUUCAUGGAGCGUCUUGGUUCACAGUGUGUGAUGCUGACUUUGACCAGCAGGAUGCAGAGGUUGUGUGUCGAGAGCUGGGCUGUGGUUCUCCUGUGGAGGUUCUGGGAGCAGCUGCUUUUGGUAGAGGGGAGGGUCAGGUGUGGUCAGAGGAGCUUCAGUGUAGAGGAAACGAAUCUCAGAUUCACUUCUGUCCAAAAUCAUCUUCACUCAAACACAGCUGCUCCCAUGAUGAUGAUGUGGGACUGGUGUGUUCUGAAAGUGUGAGGUUGGUGGAUGGUGGGAGUCGCUGUGCUGGGAGAGUGGAGGUUCUUCAUAAAGGACAGUGGGGAACAGUGUGUGAUGAUAACUGGGAUAUGAUAGAUGCUGCAGUGGUGUGUAGAGAGCUGGGCUGUGGAGAGGCUGUAGAUGCACUUAGUGGUGCUUACUUUGGAUCAGGAUCAGGACCAAUCUGGAUGGAUAAUGUGGAGUGUAGAGAAUCAGAAUCCAUACUAAAGAACUGUAAAUCAGCAGGAUGGGGUAAACAUAACUGUAAUCAUCCUAAAGAUGCUGGAGUCAUCUGUUCAAGAGUCAGGCUGGUUGGAGGUUCUCACUGCUCUGGAAGAGUGGAGGUUCUUCAUGGAGAGAGCUGGGCCACAGUGUGUGAUGCUGACUUUGACCAGCAGGGUGCAGAGGUUGUGUGUCGAGAGCUGGGCUGUGGUUCUCCUGUGGAGGUUCUGGGAGCAGCUGCGUUUGGUAGAGGGGAGGGUCCGGUGUGGUCAGAGGAGCUUCAGUGUAGAGGAAAUGAAUCUCAGAUUCACUUCUGUCCAAAAUCAUCUUCACUCAAACACAACUGCUCCCAUGAUGAUGAUGUGGGACUGGCAUGUUCUGGUGACAAGCGAAGACUUGUUGGUGAUCCUCACGCAUGCUCUGGGAGAGUAGAGAAGCUUCAUCGGAAUUCUUGGCUUCCAGUGUGUGAUGCUGACUUUAACCAGCAGGAUGCAGAGGUUGUGUGCAGCUGGGAGCUGGGCUGUGGUUCUCCUGUGGAGGUUCUGGGAGCAGCUGCUUUUGGUAGAGCAGAGGGUCAGAUGUGGUCAGAGGAGCUUCAGUGUAGAGGAAACGAAUCUCAUAUGUACCUCUGCCAGACAUCUCCUUCCUUGAAACCCAACUGCUCUCACAACAAGGAUGUGGGACUAAGAUGCUCUGGUCACACUCAGGCUCGGCUGAUGAACGGCUCAGAUUCCUGUUCUGGUCGAGUGGAGCUCCAGUACCUCAGUGAGUGGGGUACAGUGUGUGAUGUAAGCUGGGAUAUGAGAGCUGCCAGUGUCCUCUGUGCUCAGCUGAAGUGUGGGAGUUCUGUGGCUGUGUUGGGGUCAGACUGGUUUGGGGAGGGGAGUGGCCGGAUCUGGGCUGAUGUGUUUGAUUGUCAGGGAAACGAAACACACCUGUUAAAGUGUCCCAUUUCAUCAUGGAGUCGAACUGCAUGCUCUCAUGAACAGUAUGCUGGAGUUAUCUGUAGUGGUUCUUCUCUGGCGUCUCAUGAGGGAGGAGUGCGGUUGUCUGGAGGGAUGGAGUGUGAGGGGGAGGUGGAGGUGUUCUUCAGGCAGGACUGGAGGAGAGUUCUGCUGGACUCCUGGAGUGAGUCUGAGGCCUCUGUGGUCUGCAGACAGCUGGGCUGUGGUUCUGUACUCAACAUCUCCAGCUCCUCUUCAUCCAGUCCUGAACACAGCUACAUGUGUGUGACGGGUUUCAACUGCUCUGGGAGUGAAGCUCAUCUGAGGAACUGCAGCAGCUCACAAGCAGUUAACUGCAGCUCCACAGUACAGCUCUACAUCACCUGCUCUGGUACAUCUAACACAGUCCACAGCUCCAUCAGGCUGGUUGGUUCUGGGGUAGACUGUGCAGGAAGGCUGGAGGUUUUCCACAGUGGAUCAUGGGGGACAGUGAGUGAUGAAUUGUGGGAUAUUGAGGAUGCGCAGGUGGUCUGCAGACAGCUGCAGUGUGGAGUCGCCCUCAGUGCUCCAGUACCAGUACCAGCCCGGUUUGGAUCUGGAACUGGACCCAUUUGGCUGAAUGAGGUGGAGUGUGAGGGGAACGAGGUGUCUCUGUGGAACUGCAGAUAUCAGCUGUGUGGAGAGGAUGAAUGUGGACACAAGGAUGAUGUAGGAGUCGUGUGCUCAGAGUAUAAAGAGAUCAGACUGACUGAGGGCUGUGAGGGGAAUCUGGAGGUGUACUAUAAUGGAACCUGGGGGAAUGUGUGUGUAAAUGGGAUGACUGAUGAAACGGCAAAAUUGAUCUGUCGAGAGCUGAACUGUGGAAGAACUGGCAGUGAGUCUUGGUCUAAAGCAAGAGUGGAGUCAGCUCCUAACUGGCUGGAUAAUGUAAAAUGUAGGAAACAUGACUCCACUCUGUGGCACUGUCCAUCUUCUUCCUGGGGGGAGAACAGGUGUGAUAAUCGCAAUGAGGUUGCUUGCAUUACCUGCUCAGAGAAUGGAAAUACACUAGAUUUGACAAAUUGGCUGUGUGAUUCAUCUCCUCAUGAGAGACCGUGCUCAAAGCACAUUCCUCUGAGGCUGAGGGGAGGAGUAGGAAGCUGUUCUGGAUGGCUGCAGGUGUAUCAUAAUAAAACAUGGGGGUCUGUAUGUGGUGACCUCUGGGACAUCAGGGAUGCUCAGGUGGUCUGCAGGCAGCUGGGUUGUGGGCCGGCGCUGAGUGCUAAUAGAAGAGCUGCUGAUGGUUCUGGUGGAGGAACUAUCUGGAUGAACAGAGUGAAGUGUAGAGGGAAUGAGAUUCACCUGUGGGACUGUCCUCAUUCCCUGAAGAACCACACUGACUGCUCCCACAGUGCUGGAGUCACUUGUGGAGGCUUCCUGUAUCAUACUUUGCCUUUAAAUAAUAAAAGAGGACAGAUGGGACAUUUUGUCUUGCAAGAUUCUCAACCACAGACAAGAAGAAUCAUACUUCCACAAACUCCUCCACCAGCUGUUCCCUCCAUCUAUCCAGUGUCUCUCCUGGUUCUGGGAUAUGUGCUCUUCCUGGCCUUAGUGCUUCUGGUUGUGCUGUUUUAUCAGAACAGAGUGCUCAGGAGAGUGAUCUCUAAGAGGAGGAAGACUUCAGCUGAGCCUGUCUAUGUGGAGAUUGACACCAGGCUCAUCCCUAAAAGAAUUACUGUCUCAACUGAAAGGUGGUGAGCUUCCUGAGGGCUUUGAGGAUGGUUAUCCUGGUGCGUGUCUUUCGUCUGGCCUCUCAGAAGAAAGAUCUGGAGAAGGUCACUACAAGAAAGGUAUCUGAGAACAAAAGGCGGUAACAAAAAGGAUGGAUUUGAUUUGGAUCUCACCUAUGUCACAGGCACUCUACAGAAAUCCCAUAAAAGUAAGCUUAACAAUUAAGAAAAUAAAAUAAAACUGAAAAGUCUGUAGAAGGCAAUUAUUUUAGCUGAAUUACUGAUUUAAACAGAUUUUUAUGUAACAAUGUUACAAUGUGCUGUAUUUCGGAAGCUGCCAUAUUUCUGGACACAAAGCAUCCCGAUCAUUACAGAGUUUACAAUCUCUGCAGUCAAAAAGGCUACGAUCCACUGUUCUUCCAUUACAGAGUGCAACGAGUGAUGAUUGACGACCAUAACGUACCGUCAUUAGACCAACCCACUCGUUAGGACCCCCCCUAUCACUAGUAAUGCCCCAACACACCAGGAGGAUGAAGACUAGCACACUCUUUCUCCGAUACAUGUGAAGUCAGCCACCGCUUCUUUUCGAGCUGCUGCUGAUGCAGCAUUGCCAAGCAGCCAGCACAUUUGGAGGAAAGCGCAGCGGCAGGUGAAGUGCGUAAUAUGGACAGUGUGCACUUUGCACUUGUGCAACUUUUUUUUUAAAAACAGUUUGAUUUGUUUCUGCUAUAUUUUGAUUCAUAGCUUUAUAUAAAAUGAAAAUAACUUAUAACUAUAUUAUUUUCUUUAGCCCGAGGAACCUGAGGAAAGUGGUGGGAAAUCUCGAGCCAGGUCAGACCUUGGGUUGGGUUUGGGCAGAGAACCUAAGCUCUUAUUCACAUAUUGAACUUUGUGUUAUUGUGUUCUCAGUGACAUGUUGAACUACACUGCCAGUUUGAGGGAAUGUCAUUGCCAUCCACUGCAAAGGAGGCAAAGGUGAUGCUGAAGUUUUCACUGAUUUAAAGACAUCAUCAAUGUUUUCUAUAUGUAUUUGAUUUGAUUUUUAGGUUAACCCAUCACCAUAGUUGUUCAGCUGAAUGUCUAAAGCCAUAUCCAAACUGGAUUCACUUAUUCAUUUUAGCUGAGGAGGUUUUUUUUUCACGGGUACGAUGGUGUGUACAUGGUUGAUUGACAGCGUUUAGUUUGAGAGUGCGCAGGUGUGGGAAAGGGCAAUGGCAGUGAUCUGAAGGUGCGGAUCAUAGUGAAAAGAGAGCAGGUGUUCCAGUGUGUCUGUGCCACGCAGACGAACUGUAGGCUGUUCCCAGAUACUGAAAACAAUGCCGUGGUGAUCAGCUUUCAGGAAGGGCCAGUGGUUUGUGGUGAUGUUAAGGUCAUGUUUGAAUCCAGGGCUGGUCUUCCAAAGGGGUAUGAGGACUAUCCUUUCUAUUUCUGGUUCAACACUUCAUUUGUAGAGAACAACAGGCUCUAUCUGUCAAGGGAGGAACUGGACAACCCACGUAAGUCCAAAACCUGGCACAUCUACAAGGAGGACUUUGGUGUGACCGUGUCUUUCAGUGACCCUGCACUUAUGUAGCAGACGACACUUGCUUGUGUAUCUCAACUAAAACCCUUAAGCCCUGCACAAGGUCUAAAUCUUUGCUCUAAUGCAGGUUUUCACACACUUAUAAAAGGUGAGUGAUGUUUAGGGAUUGGAUUCGGGUAUAUUGUGCCCCUAAAGCUAUAGCUAUAUAACCUCAACUUUAUGUCCAUCCCCCAUCUUCACUGUAAGAGCUUUUUACUGAGCCGUGCAUACACCACAAUAUUAUGCAUUUGUUUGUCAAAUGUUUUUUUGUCUUUAAAUGAAGACAAAUGUUUGUGUCAGUUUAGCAUAUUAAGCCUCCAAAAUGUAAAUCUUACUCUUUAAGCUUGAGUGUACAUCAAAUAAAGCAAUCGAGGCUGCCACUGUGAAAUGGUCAAUGGUUAUGUGUGCAGAAACAUGUUUUUGUAGUACACAUGUAUUGAAAUAAAUACUAAUGUCUCUGUAA